rnacentral:lncRNA from 1 species
AAACCGGGUUUUGAUACCCGUGGUGGGCAGAGCACAGAUAGCCCGAUAUGUAGCUUUGUGCCUAAAUUACAUACAACAAAUAUUCAAUGGAGAAAACAGGUAUUAUCUUCAAAGAAGAAGAAAGACACCUUGGACGAAGUCAACUUCAGUGGAUUUCUGGACCAUGUAUUAAGGGAAACUGCAUACGCUUAGAAUAAACAGAAAACAUUGAAAAUGUUUACAUUAAAAUGAGAAGGUAGAAAAUGCAUGGUAUUGCUGUAUAGCACAAUAAGUCUUAUAACCUACUUGUUAGUUAUAAGUUUACCUGAGAAUACCACAAGAGUUUUCCGUAAAUAUGGAAAUCUAUUUUCUAAUGGUCGUUAUAACAACGUCUUGAUUCAUAAAAAAACCUCAAAAUCUCAAAUAAAUGCGACCAAAGUAAUUAAGCUUAAGUGAAAUGUGGAAUAACGGAUGCAGUAAAAGCAAAAGAUUUUAUUUAAUUAUCAAUUCAGGUCAAGACUCUUCCCCCAACCAGUGCUAGAAUGAAAUUCAUGUGUCACUUUUUUCUUUCCUUGUUGUGUCAGGUUUUCUAUACCUGUUGUCAGUAUUUUGCAGCUUACUUGCCAAUAAUAUUGAUACGAUGUAAUUUAGUUAGUAUGAACGAAAAUCGUGUGUUUAAGUACUUAAGAAGAAGUUAUGUAUUUACAAAUUACCUUGCAUUUUAUUAGUUAUUUAUAGAUACGUAUGCAGAGAUAUAUAUAUUGGAUCCACUGUACAUCUUAUGAGCUGAUAAGAGAGCACUCAGACAGCAGAAAUAAGGAAAGUCUCAGAAUAGUCUAAUGUGUGGAAUAGUUGUUGCCAAAACGACUGAAUUCUUGAUCAUCAGUUCAGUGGGAACUUGUGGUGAGUGCCUAAGCCGUUAGGAGAACAAUUUAGACAAAGAUAGAAAAAAGUAAAGGAGUUUGUGAAUAACCAGGAGGACAACAAAUUUAACCAACUGUUCCCUCAUCUUGAUUUGUUUUGGGUACCAUCUUACUGGUCGGGAAAAAUCCUCAACCUUCCAAUCUCUUUCUAGAUAUGAUUUUUCAGGAGUAACUGUUGUGACGACUUCUUGGAUAUGUAGACACAGUUCUUUCUUACUUGGAACCUUAUUAGCAUAAACCAAGUCCUUUGUGAAGAAACAUAAAGAAUCCAUAAGUGUAAUGUCUGGAGAAUGUGUCGGCCAGCUGAUUGGACCUCUCUGUCGACUCCACUGACUGAUUGGAGGAUAUUUCAUCAAGUAUGUUACAGGUGCUAAGGCUCUUGUCUGGUCGAGCACUGUCCUGUUGAAAUAACAUGUUAAUAAUAUCUACCAGUGAUAUAAACAUUAUUUUUCCAUAUGAAACAAAUGGUAUAUCUUUAUACCACCCUGUUUCAAGGCAAUUAGACUAUUACUAACAGAUCCAUGGUGCAACUAUGGACUUUCCAAUUUCAAUGAUUGUAGUAGACUUAGUUAUGGAAUCUUAAGAAAUGAAAAACUUGAAGGACUUCUUAUACAGAAUUAAAAGUUGGUAGAGCAGUUGGUGAAUCUAAGCCAAAGAAAAAUUACCAGAAGAAAAACUGCUGCACAACAUGGAGUCGUCCUAUAACUCUGACAUAAGGCCCAAGAACAGGCUUUUAUUGUGACAGGGUCUCUCAAAGAGGACAGUAUGUCGAUUUCAGUGUUACUGGUGUCAAAAGAUGUUUUUUCACAAAAGUCAUGCAGAGCGGCACCAGUUUUAUCACUGUAAAAAAAGACCAGCUAAUCUGCAAAAGCAGUUUGUUUGUGAACUUUGUAAGAAAGAAUAUUGUAGACCUGAAUUGUUGGAACAACACAAAAUUAUGUACCAUUAAAAAGUAGAAAUAUUGUGAUGGUUUAAAAGUCAGUAAUAACUGAAAGUUAGGUAAAGUACUUUGUUCAUGUAGAAAAAUUUUUAAUGUAGAGUUUGUACAAAUCUUACUAUGAAGUAUUCUUAGUGUUAAAUAUAACAGCGUUAAUCACUUGUUAAUUUACACUUUGUUUAAAAGUCCAUGCCUACAAGGGUUGUGGUUUUUAUUUUAACUUUAGCUUCUGUAUAGAUUUACAUAUAUAUAGAUAUAUAUACCAUGGAAUAUACUACUCUGAUGAUUUUAAAAUUGAAUUGUCUUAAAUUAUGAAAGUGUUUGUUACAUGGCAUUCUGUGGUUGUAUAUUUAACUUUUUGUUUUGUAUCAAAGGUGUAAAGAAGAGAAAAUGUUUGAGUAAAAAUAAUUAUUGUGACUUUUGAAGCAUUAGAUGUACAAAGUACCUUUUCUUGGAAUAAUCUUGUCCUAAUUUCUUGUUUGUAUAUCAAACAUAAAUGUAGUUUUUUUUUAAAUAUAAUUAUAUUCCUAUAAAUCUUUUAA